CGGGUGCGGAACACGUACACAACUUUCCUUUAAGUGGAGGAUAGCCCAGAGAAAUUUGGAUUAAUACCCCGUAAUAUUAUGAAAUGGCAUCAUUUUAUAAUUAUAGCUCCGGCGCUUGAAGAUGGGUGUGCGGCUGAUUAGGUAGUUGGCGGGGUAACGGCCCACCAAGCCUACGAUCAGUAACUGGUGUGAGAGCACGACCAGUCACACGGGCACUGAGACACGGGCCCG
rnacentral:rRNA from 1 species